CGCAUAUUGCGCCCUUUGGUAUUCCGAAGGGCAUGCCUGUCCGAGCGUCAAUAUCACCUCUCAGCUUCGGCUUGAUGUUGGACUGUGUUAAAUUUGUCAAUUCAACACAUCUCAAAUAUAGUGACGCUGGCUUGAGUAAACCGGUACGAGGAGCUGUUUCAGCAUGUACAAGGAACUCAAGUUUGUUGUCUAAACUUUUACACUUUGUGUUUGGGUUGACCUCGGAUCAGGUAGGAAUACCCGCUGAACUUAA
rnacentral:misc_RNA from 1 species